rnacentral:misc_RNA from 1 species
UCUACAACUAACAAUAUCAACUAAUACACUAUCAGCACCAAACCCAUAAAGACUUGAUUUUCUAUCAGUGAUCGACAACUCCCUUUUGUGGUAAUCUGAUGAUUUGUUGAAUUCUAUUGCAAAAUGUCGGUGGAAAGGUCGUUCGAAGCAUGGGAGGAAGUGCAGCGGCAUGGCCAGGACCUUGCGGACCGGCUGGCGCAGGGAUUUACGGGCCUUAUUCAAUCCCAUAUGACAAACACGCCAAGUAAAAGCUGGCGUGUUUNNNNNNNNUGGAAUUCCGAGGCCAAAAUUUCAAUGGAAGGGAUUUGGGAGUUUUAACCGAUUAUAGUGG